rnacentral:rRNA from 1 species
UGAGGAAUAUUGGUCAAUGGGCGCAAGCCUGAACCAGCCAUCCCGCGUGAAGGAUGAAUGUCUUAUGGAUUGUAAACUUCUUUUCUGUGCCAAGAAAUGUCAUUACGUGUAGUGAUUUGACGGUAGCACAGGAAUAAGCACCGGCUAACUCCGUGCCAGCAGCCGCGGUAAUACGGAGGGUGCAAGCGUUAUCCGGAUUUAUUGGGUUUAAAGGGUGCGUAGGUGGAAUGAUAAGUCAGUGGUGAAAUCCUGCAGCUUAACUGUAGAACUGCCAUUGAUGCUGUUGUUCUUGAGUGUAGUUGAGGUAGGCGGAAUGAGUAGUGUAGCGGUGAAAUGCUUAGAUAUUACUCAGAACACCGAUUGCGAAGGCAGCUUACUAAACUAUUACUGACACUGAUGCACGAAAGCGUGGGGAUCGAACAGG